CAGGGUGUUCAUAGAACACUGAACAUGGCUGAUCUUGUCUGAUCUCAGAAGCUAAGUAGGGUCAGGUCUGGUUAGUACUUGGAUGGGAAACUGGGGGGAUUUUGUGAAGACUUCCCUCA
rnacentral:rRNA from 1 species